rnacentral:rRNA from 1 species
AUUGAACGCUGGCGGCAGGCCUAACACAUGCAAGUCGAACGCGUGGCGGACGGGUGUGUAAUGUCUGGGAAACUGCUCGAUGGAGGGGGAUAACUACUGGAACCGGUACCUAAUACCGCAUACCAUCGGAUGUGCCCUGAUGGGAUGAGCUAGUAGGUGGUGUAACGGCUCACCUAGGCGACGAUCCCUAGCUGAUCUGAGAGGAUGACCAGCCACACUGGAACUGAGACACGGUCCAGACUCCUACGGGAGGCAGCAGUGGGGAAUCUUGCACAAUGGGCGCAAGCCUGAUGCAGCCAUGCCGCGUGUAUGAAGAAGGCCUUCGGGUUGUAAAGUACUUUCAGCGGGGAGGCGGUACUCGCAGAAGAAGCACCGGCUAACUCCGUGCCAGCAGCCGCGGUAAUUC